CGAUGCACACUGAUGAACGCAACCGCUAUCGCCAGCCUGUAUGAUGUCCGGGAGAGUGAGAGAGAUAGCAUAUCUAAAAACUGGCCUACCUGAAAUUCUUGUUUUUUUUGACGUUGCUAGCUCUCGUACUAUAAUGUCGUACUUUGUUAUAAAAAUUGUCUUUUUUUUAUAAAUUUUCUCCACUCAAUGGAAAUAAUUGAGGAAUUGUUUGAUUUGAACCGCCUAGCAAUGAAACGUUUGUUGCAUGCACACAUAAUACUCAAAAUGGGUAGUCUACAUGGAGCAAAUUCAGCAAGGUCUAUUUGGAUGAAGACUCGUGGCCAAAUGUUUUGGGAAGUCGAUUGCCAGGUGAAUUCAGAUGCAUUCUUUAAAAGCAACUUCCGAAUGAAGCGCAAAUCAUUCAAUAAAUUGUGCAUUAUGUUGAAAGGCUUGGAGAAGAAAACCACUAACUACUGGAAAACAAUUCAAUUAGAAAAACGCAUUGCUAUUGCUUUAUAUGCUCUUGGCUCUUCUGCAGAAUACGGAACAAUUGGAAAUAUGUUCGGAAUUGGUAAAAUCACAGUCUGCUCCAUUCUAAUUGAGUGCUGCCAUGAAGUCUGGCGAUGUUUGUGGCCAUUGUAUUUGAAGAAAUUCCCAAUGAACGAAUUUCAAGUGCGGGAGUAUAUAAAUGGUUUUGAGUCAUUGGGUUUCCCUCAAGUGUUAGGAGCUAUAGAUGGUUGUCAUAUAGAAGUUCGCCCAGCAGCAGAAGAUGCUGUUGACUACUACAAUUACAAAGGCUGGUAUUCCACAGUUCUUUUGGCUUUGGUAGAUGCAAGAUGCCGCUUUAUAUACAUCAACGUUGGUAGUCCAGGCCGUUGUAAUGACUCUUCAAUAUUUGAGAGUUCAUCUUUAAAAAGCCAGUUGGCACAAUCUAGUUUAUUUAAAAACAUGAGUAGACAAAUUUCGUCAAUUAAUGUUCCAGUAGUUUUAUUGGGCGACUCUGCGUUCAAACUAGAUGAACAUUUGAUGAAACCCUACCCUUUUUGUGUAAACCAACCUUCGGAUAAAAAAAAAUUUAACUAUGUUCUCUCGAAAUGUCGAAGAGUGGUGGAGAAUGCUUUCGGUCUUUUAAAGGCAAGGUUUAGACGCGUUGGCAAAGGCUUGGAUAACCACAUGGUCAACACGAGAGCUGUUAUCAAAGCGUGCUGCGUUUUGCAUAACUUUUUAAAUGACGAAAUUGAUGAAAUUAAUGAAAAGUGGAUUGCAGCAUAACAAAUCGAAAACGAAACUCGACAGUUGCCAGAAAACGUCUCUUACGUUUGUGGAAAUGUUAACCCAAGAGCAGACCUCAUUUGACGAUGACCGAGUCGAGCUACCCGAUGUAGAAGGGCCAACGUCAGGGCUCGGGAGCGGCGACUCCCCUUCUUCCUCCAGGUAAAUCGCCUCCAUAUCACCUGAAAAUAUGCAUACAUAUUAUAAACUUUCUGCAAACAAAUAAAAGCAUAAAAAACAUUCCAUAAACGUUUUUCAUUUCGAAUUAUGGAACCUCCAAUACAUUUAAAACUUACCCUCGAUGCUGCCCUCCACAAGCUCGGCGGAACAAAAGCUC